GGAGAAAAUAUCAUGUCAGUGGGGGUAGUUGUUUUGUGUGGACGUAGGAAAGAAGUAAGUGGUGGAUUUUAAGGGGUAGUAGAUUGUCUCGUCUUUUUUAGAGUUUUCAUAUUAUACCAUUGUUAGUGGGAGGUUUUAAGGACGAUUUUCGAUCCAGAUCAUCUAAACCUUUUUUCAUUGAUGAAUAAAAGCUACCCUGCACAAUUUUCAUGUCAUGCUUUUAUAGGCAACCCAUAGACUUUAAUGCGAUGCACCGGGUUGGAGUCAGAUGAAAUUAAAC
rnacentral:lncRNA from 1 species